AGAGUUUGAUCAUGGCUCAGAACGAACGCUGGCGGCGUGGAUAAGACAUGCAAGUCGAACGGGAUUUUGUUUGUAGCAAUACCGAUAAAAUCUAGUGGCGGACGGGUGCGUAACACGUGAGCAAUCUGCCGGGAAGUGGGGGAUAACUCGUCGAAAGGCGAAUUAAUACCGCAUAUGGCCAGGGAGGACAUCCUCCUGAAGCCAAAGUCGCAAGACGCUUCCUGAUGAGCUCGCGGCCUAUCAGCUAGUUGGUGAGGUAACGGCUCACCAAGGCUGUGACGGGUAGCUGGUCUGAGAGGACGACCAGCCACACUGGAACUGAGACACGGUCCAGACACCUACGGGUGGCAGCAGUCGAGAAUUUUUCACAAUGGGGGAAACCCUGAUGGAGCGACGCCGCGUGGAGGAUGAAGGUCUUCGGAUUGUAAACUCCUGUCAAAUGGGAACAAGAAAGUGAUAGUACCAUUAGAGGAAGAGACGGCUAACUCUGUGCCAGCAGCCGCGGUAAUACAGAGGUCUCAAGCGUUGUUCGGAUUCAUUGGGCGUAAAGGGUGCGCAGGCUGCGGGGUAAGUCGGAUGUGAAAUUUAGGGGCUCAACCUCUAAACUGCAUUCGAUACUGCUCUGCUAGAGGACUGUAGAGGAGAUUGGAAUUCACGGUGUAGCAGUGAAAUGCGUAGAUAUCGUGAGGAAGACCAGUGGCGAAGGCGAAUCUCUGGGCAGGUCCUGACGCUCAUGCACGAAGGCCAGGGGAGCAAACGGGAUUAGAUACCCCGGUAGUCCUGGCAGUAAACGGUGCACGUUUGGUGUGGGAGGAUUCGACCCCUUCCGUGCCGGAGCUAACGCGUUAAACGUGCCGCCUGGGAAGUACGGUCGCAAGAUUAAAACUCAAAGAAAUUGACGGGGGCUCGCACAAGC
rnacentral:rRNA from 1 species